rnacentral:tRNA from 1 species
GCUUUCGUAGUGUAGUGGUCAGCACGCUCGACGCGUAACCGAGAGGUCCGUGGUUCGAUUCCCGGCGAAGACG